rnacentral:lncRNA from 10 species
CGGGGCGCGAGCCCAGCUGGGGUGGUAAAUAGAGUACAGUACAAAAGCGGAAGGGGCAGGCCUAGAAGCUGAAAGAAAAGCUCGAUAAUGGGGAAACAGUGUUUUUUCCUUCAAUUAAUGAUUAAUUUCUCAGCUGGUGGGGCCAGCAGUCUCUGACCGUCACGUGACAGCUAUGCGCCCCAUGACGCCUCUCCAGGGAGGCAGAGUGGGUGGCACUGAGGUGGAGCUCACCUUCCUGAAAUUCAGCCCCCUCAGUUUGGAGGAAGGAGGUAAACUGUUUCCUGUCCAGCCAGAAGUUUGCGGAGGGCCUUCCCCAGGCCAGGCAAUGCUGCCUGCGACUCUGUCCCUGACAGCGUUGGAUGCACCGUAUCUCUUCUGAUAUUAAGUCUGGAAGUGAUUUACUAUCCGAGUCCUCCCACAGUUCGAGCCUUUUGAUGUACUUUGUGUGCAUGUGUUUCUGUCACAUACGUGCCACAGUGGAACAGAUUUUGUUUUGACACUAUUUUGGUUCAUGAUGUUAUACUUUGACUAUUUUACAAUAAUAGCCAAUGUAAACAAACAUCUUUGGGAUUCUCAAAUUAUUACUUAUGAUUCUUGGACAUUGCAGCUCUUCGAUACUGACGCAUUCCUAGCUUUUUCCAAGGACACCGUAUGUUAACAUCCGUGCCAGCCUCAUUAUCCCCACAGCCAGGCUCUGGGUUGGGCGGUAAUGAGCAUUGUGCGGUUUCACUUUACACUUUGCAAAGUUGAUUAAGGCAGUGCCUUCUCCCAUGAUCAUUUUUGUACCCUGAUGUAGUAAAAUGGCUAAAUAUGGUGAAAGUUUUCUGGUGUUUCUUUCUUUAGCUGCCAUGUCAGAGUCCAGUCUGCCUGGCUGUGUUGAAUUCGAUUCUAUUGGCACGCUACCCAGUUUUACAUUCAUUUAAAGAUCAUUUAAAGGGGAUUACGAAGCUGUAUAAGUUAAUGAUUUAAACGAGGCCUAAGUUACUAGUGUGUCUGUUUCAGCACGCCCAAUAUGAAAUCACCUUAAAAAUUGCUUUCGUGGGGGAAAAUCGUGUCGGAGCAUUUUCCAAGUGGGUUUAAAGGAUUCUGUGUGAAGAAUACAGAGACAGACGUUCCAUUUCAAAGAAAAAAGAGCAACACGAAGGCCCUCUUUAAGGAGAGAGUAAACAUUCACUUUAGGUAAAAAAUAGUCUUUUACACGCCUGUGCACGGCACACCUCUUUUGCUGUUCACCUUGAGCCCAAGAGUUUGGAAAGGCUGCCCCCAUUUCAGAGAGGAAGAAACGCAGGCACACGUGAAUGACAGACUCCUCUGUGGUGGCCUAGACUCCAGCCAACACUUCCUAGGACAGCCUGCCAUUGUGCAAAGUCACCAUGUAACAAAUGCAGACAUCUCUGAGAUCACCAUGCAGUGAGGAAGUCUAAGCUGGUGGCAUGAAGAGGCCACAUGGAAAGGGCUAAAAAAGGGGCCAGCCUCAGUCAUCCCAGCUGAGCACCUGGCUGGGAAUAAAAGAGGACUCCGUGGAUGUCCAGCCCAGUAAGAUGACCUCAGCCCCAGCCACCAACUGACCAAGCACACAAGACAUCGUGAGGCUGCCUGCUGGAGCCUGGCCAGUGGGACUGUAGAGUAACUCAUUGUCGUGCAGGAACUCCUGGGAUGGUGUUGCCCAGUGACACAAUCCCAGUGUGGCCAUUUCUGAUCCCGAGAAAGCAGUCAGGAGUGGGUGGAUGCAGUUACAGUUCAUCAAGUCCUGCUAGUUCAAGUCAUGAGUCCUGAAUUCUCCAGGAGGAGCCACUAAAGAAAUGCAGAAGCAGGCAAUCCUUGCAAUAAGGCCAGCAAACUGCCAGUGUGAAGGAUGCCCAGGUAACCUGCCCAUGCCAGAACGGCCAGGAGAUGGUGGAACCAGAAUCUAAGCCCACGCCCAUCUGACCUCAAAGUCUGUGCUCCUGAGGUUCGCACCGAGUUGCCUCCUAAGACUUGCUGAAACUGGAUCACGUCCAUUUACCCAUCUCUGAGAGAAAUGCAAGCUUUAAAAAAGGAAAUAUUUACUAUGGAUAUUUUACAAUAGUUCCAAAACAUGAAAGUUUUAAAUAAGAUAUUCUUAACCAUCCUCACCACAUCUUCAGGUUCCCUUACAGCCACUGUGUUUUGACGAUUGCCCAUUAGAAAAAAAGACUAUGCUUUCUGUAGGUUUUAAAGGAAUGGUGGUGAAAUAAGGAGCAUUCCCUGAGCAGAUCUUGCCUGCGGGCACACCUCUGAGCAUUGGACCAGGCGAGAAGAGCCCAUGUGUUGGCUGCUUUGGGAUCCCAGCACUGCCAAUGGCAGGUGGGCUGUGGCCCAGGGAGAGAACCUAGCCUUUUGCAUUCUCUUGCCCCAUUUGAAAAUGGAGACGAUAGUGGCGCCCCGCUCAGUGUUAUUUUGAGGAUUUGAAUGUAUCUCAGAUGUAGUACCUGGAAAAAUAUAAGUGCUCAGUAAAUACGGUUGCCAGAUAAAAUGCAGGAAACCUAUUUAAAUUUAAGUUUUGGCUGGACAAUGAAUAGAAUAAUUUUUCUUAGUAUGAGUAUGUCCUUAUAUUUCAUCUGCUAAAUUUAGCAACCUCCUCAGUAAACGAUCACUACAAUUGCAGAAACGCCUUAUGACAGAUAUAGUAAAUCUGUAAAGAAAUAGGAACUUGCAUUUAUUUUUACUAAGCUCUGACUGGUUAAGAUAACUGGGCAAGAGAAGAUAUCUUCGACUAAACUUGCAGCACAUAGAGUAUAGAGAUUCAAAUUUGAAGUCCUAUAGGACUAGAAUGGCCAGAGGUGAACUGUAGCGAGCUUAUCUAAAGAGGACCAAUUUCAAAAGUUCCUCAGAGACUUAAAUGGGCCCACAGACCCCUCCUGUGUCUUUGCAUAAGCCAGCUCGUUAUAUCAGUUAUAAGUUGAUUUCCAGAGAAAUGUACCCUGGAGAUCCCUCUCCCACUUGAAAUAGGACUGGCCAAUCCAGAUGUCCCCCAGGUGAUGUUGGCUCAAAUGGAGCUCCAUAUAUUGGAGAAUCUAUUCAAGAAAACAAGCAAAAGUAUUUGUGACUGAGUUAGCUAAUGCCAGCUGGUAUCUUGAACAAACCCAGAUCUCUAACAUGCUAGUUUAUUUCGUAGUGUAAAAUGUGUGUUACUGAUGGGCAGACAGCUCUCAUUCAAGCAGUGACAGAUGUAAGCUCUUCCCAUUUUUGUGGCCCCAUUGUAUUCGGCGUGUGGCUUCCAAGUUGCCUGGGAUCAUCUCCACCCAGACUAAGGAAGAGGAAAGAGCUUGGACAACUGCACUUGGCUGGUUUUUAUGGAUCAGGCAAGGAAUUGGCUCCAACACAUUAGCUCACAUUCCAUUGGUUAGAACUGGGUUUCUCAACUAUUAGUACAGGGUGAGUGUAGGGUUUUGGCACCAUGGGCAUUUGAGCUGGCCAAAGGCUAAUCAGAGUUAGAACAAAGCCACAAAGCCUGUGAAUGGUGUUUAUUGUUGUGAGGAGCUGUCUUGUGCAUUGUGGAAUGUUCAGCAGGAUGCUCUCUGGCCUCAGAGACUCACUAGAUUCCCAUAGAACUCUCCUCUCUCCUCUAGUUGUGACAACCACAGUUGCCUCCUCUCCAGACAUUGCUAGAUGUCCCCGGGAGGCAAAAUUGUCCUGGUUGAGAACCACUGUGUUAGAACUCGGUCACAUGGCCAUACCUAACUGCAAGGGAGGGGGCUGGAAGAUCUAGACGAGUAGUAUGCCAGGAAGAAAAUAGAACUGAUUUAGAGGCUGCUGGCCAGUCACUUUCAGUGACCUUCAGCAUACUUAUUCCUCUGCAGCUGUCAGGACACUCAUGCCUGUUUCUGAGAUGUUUCCUGUGUGAGGGGACAUAGUGACUAUUGGAGGGGUGACAUGUUGGACUUGGGUAGGGUGAAGAGGAUUGGAAACCACCAUCAUGUUUGGCAGCAUUGAAUGUUUAUGACUAUUUGAAUAGUUGUGACAAGGGUACAGUGAAGGAGGAAGUAACCAUUUUUGAAUACCCUUUUACAAUUUGCAAAGCACUUUUAAAGGUAAGAGUGAGUUCCUAGACCAUAUUAGGGUGAGAAUGGACAUUGUUGGCUGCCAUAUCAUUGGGCAGGGGCUUUGAGAUUUUUGUCUUCAGAAGGCAGAUUAGAUUUGGAGUAGAAGGAGAAAUGUAAAGACCUGGUAUCUGAGUGUGUUUGCAGAGGGGAAUUGUCGUUUGGAAGCACAAGAAAGGGAAUGGCCCGUUGGCACAUAUGGUACAUUGUGUUUUCAUAUAAUUAUACCUGAAUGAAAGCAAGAGGAAACGUGUAGGAAGCUGUUUACAUAGUCCUUUUAAUAAUGUUUACAUGAGUUAAUGAACAUGCAAACGUAUCUGAUGAAAACAUGUCAGUAGUGAAACAGCCUUGUGAAGAAUCAGAUCUUACCUCAGGCUGGAAAAAAGGACUGGUUUUCCAAGCUCACAAAUUGCAGCCAGUGUGAAUAGUAGCACAAAUGACUGAGCUUUAAGACAUCCAUCCAUCCAUCUAUCCAUCCCCUCAUCCAUCCAUCCCCUCAUCCAUCCACCCAUCCAUCCAUCCCUUCAUCCAUCACUCCAUCCAGCCAUCCGUCCCUUCAUCAAUCCAUCCAUCCCUUCAUCCAUCCAUCCAUCCUUCCUUCCAUUCAUCCCUUCAUCCAUCCGUCCAUCCAUCCAUCCAUCCACUCAUUCAUCCCUUCAUCCAUCCAUCCAUCCAUCCUUCCUUCCUUCCAUUCAUCCCUUCAUCCAUCCGUCCAUCCAUCCAUCCACCCAUUCAUCCAUCCAUUCCUUCAUCAACUCAUCCCUUCAUCCAUCGUCUACCAUUCAUUCACCCCUUCAUCCAUCCAUUCAUUUAUCCAUCCGUCCAUUUACUUCCAUCCAUCCCUUUAUCCAUCCAUUCACCCAUUCAUCCCUUUAUCCAUAUGUCCAUUCCUCCAUCCAUCCAUCCAUCCAUUUACUCUUCAUCCCUUCAUCCAUUUUUCCAUCCAUUCAUCCAUUCAUCUUUUCAUCCAUCCAUCCAUUGAUCUAUCCAUCCAUCCAUUGCUCCAUCCAACCAUCCAUCCAUCCCUUCGUCCCUUCAUCCAUCCAUCCAUUCAUCCCAUCAUCCAUUGAUCACUUCAUCCAUCCAUCCUUCCAUCCUUCCAUCCAUUCUUCCAUUCAUCCAUCCAUGUGUUCAGCAAGUAUUUACUGAAUGCCUAUUAUGUGCCAAGCACUCUCCUCAGAACUUAGGAAAUACCAGGAAACAAAAUCAACAACAAUCCCUCACCACCUGGAUAUUACAUUUUGGUGGGAAGAGACAAAGAAAUAAAAUUGGUGAGUGAAUCACAUAGGUUAUUAGAAGGUGAUAAAGGUGUAGGUGAUAAAGGAGAAGUGCCAGGAGCAAGGAUUGGGUACAGUUGUGAAUAAGGUGGCCCCAAUAGGUUGCACUGAGAAGGUGACAUUUGCACAGAGACUUGAAGAAAGGAAGGAGAGAACAUGACUGUACCUGGGUAACAGCAUUUGUGGAAGAGGGAACAGCCAGUGUAAAAGUUCCAAGGCAUGAGUGCCUGGUACAUACAUGGAACAUCGAGGCCAGGGUGGCAGAAACGCGGUGAGUCCAGGAAGGGAAUAGGAACUAAGUGUAGGAAGGUGUACAGUGGGGUGGUGUGGGGGUGGAAUUGUGGCAGCCAGAUGGUGUUGGCCUAAGGCCUCUUGGCCCUUGUUAGGACUUGGUUUACCAUGGCGCAACACAUCCAUGAGAUUGGCAAAAAUUAAAAAGUCUGACAACAGAAAAUCUGGUAAUCUGGUGAGGAUGUGGAGCAGUGGGAAUUCUCCAAUACUGCCAGGGAGCAUGGGCAUCAAUCCCACCACACUGGAAUGCAAAGGGGCAUUCUGAGUAGAACUGAAGAUGUGCCCAUCCUUGACCCCACAGUUCCAGCCAUGGGCAUGCGCAUGAAUGUGCACACGUGUUGACUGCGGCAUUUGUUUGUCAUUAUGAAAACAUCUAAGUUUCCAUCUAUGGGAGAGGGGAUAAUGUGGGAGUGCCCAACAGUGGAGUUCUAGAGAGCAGUAAAAAUAAAUGGACUAGAGCUGCACACGUCAAAAUGGAUGAAGAUAAAAGACAUAAGGAUGGAAGAAGACCACCUGGCCACAGAAGUAUAUGUCCAAUAUGAUGCUGGUGUAUCCAGAGUGUUCAAACAAACAACACAACACUACUCAUUGUUUCCAACGUGAGUAUGAAAGUAUGGAGCAGUGCGGAGGGCCAGGAGUGCUGAAUCCACAUGGUUACUUCUCCAGGCGGGGGCCGAGGACCAGGGCUGGAGGUUUACUCCAGGAGCUUCAGUGGUGCAUGCUGAAUGUGCUGUUUCUUGGGCUGGGGGACAGAGAUGUGCAUGCUGUUAUACACUCUAUAUUGAAAUGAUUGUAUAACAAUAUACUAAUUUAUCAUGUAAUAAAUUUGACCAGAAAGAAACAACUGUUCUGUGGCUGCUUCCAUGACUGGAUUUCACGUUGUAGGUUUCUAAGCAGAGAGUCCAAGGAAAACCAAAGGAGCGGCGGAAGGAUAAGCCUCCCGGGUGUUCUGGGAGUGUCCCUUUGCUUGGG